rnacentral:rRNA from 1 species
CAGUCGCCACGGUAAUACAGAGGGUGCGAGCGUUAAUCGGAUUUACUGGGCGUAAAGCGUGCGUAGGCGGCUAAUUGAGUCGGAUGUGAAAUCCCCGAGCUUAACUUGGGAAUUGCAUUCGAUACUGGUUAGCUAGAGUAUGGGAGAGGAUGGUAGAAUUCCAGGUGUAGCGGUGAAAUGCGUAGAGAUCUGGAGGAAUACCGAUGGCGAAGGCAGCCAUCUGGCCUAAUACUGACGCUGAGGUACGAAAGCAUGGGGAGCAAACAGGAUUAGAUACCCCAGUAGUCCCUGUCUCUUAUAA